GACUAUUGAAGCUACUGUUGGG
rnacentral:siRNA from 1 species